rnacentral:rRNA from 1 species
UACGAAGGGGGCUAGCGUUGCUCGGAAUCAUUGGGCGUAAAGGGUGCGUAGGCGGGUUUUUAAGUCAGGGGUGAAAUCCUGGAGCUCAACUCCAGAACUGCCUUUGAUACUGAAGAUCUUGAGUUCGGGAGAGGUGAGUAGGAACUGCGAGUGUAGAGGUGAAAUUCGUAGAUAUUCGCAAGAACACCAGUGGCGAAGGCGGCUCACUGGCCCGAUACUGACGCUGAGGCACGAAAGCGUGGGGAGCAAACAGG